rnacentral:ncRNA from 18 species
UCACAUGAUGAAAAAUAAACACAGACCUGUACUGAUCUCCUUUGGAGUAAUGCAGAAAUGUUUAUUGCCUUUACUGAUA